rnacentral:rRNA from 1 species
UGGGGAAUCUUCCGCAAUGGACGAAAGUCUGACGGAGCAACGCCGCGUGAGUGAUGACGGCCUUCGGGUUGUAAAGCUCUGUUAAUCGGGACGAAUGGUUCUUGUGCAAAUAGUGCGAGGAUUUGACGGUACCGGAAUAGAAAGCCAUGGCUAACUACGUGCCAGCAGCCGCGGUAAUACGUAGGUGGCAAGCGUUGUCCGGAAUUAUUGGGAGUAAAGCGCGCGCAGGCGGAUUGGUCAGUCUGUCUUAAAAGUACGGGGCUUAACCCCGUGAUGGGAUGGAAAAUGCCAAUCUGAAGUUUCGGAGAUGAAGGUGGAAUUGCAAGUGUAGCGGUGAAAUGCGUAGAUGUUAGGAAGAACACCAGUGGCGAAGGCGACUUUCUGGACGAAAACUGACGCUGAGGCGCGAAAGCCAGGGGAGCGAACGGG